rnacentral:lncRNA from 1 species
AGCCAAUUAAUAUUAAUAUAUGUUUUGAAACUACAAAUGCAACAUAGCAUGUUCAUAAUACAAAGUUCACAUAAAUAUAACUCAAGAAUUUCAAUCACAAAUAACAGGAUAUAGCAUUGUAACUAAACAAAUAUAAUGUAGAAUAUGGAUUUUACAUGCAUCAAAGAGAAGGGUAAAGCUUCUAGGAAUUUAUUUGUACGGAUAAAUGAAAAAACAAAACAAGAGUACUAAUCAUGCAAAACUAUAUUGAAAUCACACAACCACAAAAAAAUUGAAUUCAAGGCUUAUUUGCUUCAACAUGUUUGUGACCACCAAUGAAACCACCAACUCCACCUAUAACACCCCCUCCAAUUCCUCCUACACCCCCUCCAAUUCCUUUGAAAGCAUAACCCCCAAUUCCACCUACAAUUCCUCCACCCCCUAAACCACUACCUACACCUCCUCCAUAUCCACCCCCUAAACCACCACCAACACCUCCUCCAUAUCCACCACCCAAACCGCCGUCAAUUCCUCCUCCAUAUCCUCCUCCUCCACCUCCACCACCACUGUUGUACCCUCCGAGGCCUUCGGACGGGACACCAUCAAAGAACAAUUCUGGCUUUUUCACAUCUUCUUUUUCAUUCUUCAAGUCCCUUCCAUCUACAUAUUGGGACAUUCCCAACAAUAAACAUAUCCCAACAACUACCAAAAUGAACUUGCCCUCCAUGACAAUUUAUGUAUGAUAGUAAAACACACACCUUAAUUACUACACUAACUUAUACUAUAGAACUCUCUCCAAAAUGCACCAUACAUGCAUGCCUUUAUAUACUUGUUGCUUGCAUGAGAAUAAUGACCCCCGUAUGAGCCAAGAAUAAUGAGCACCGAAUAUAGUUGUUGCCUAUAUAUAUUCUUGGUAUAUUAACUUCGAGUAAAUAAGUUUUACAUUUGACGAAAAAAAAUAUGGAGCACUUUAUAAGUAAGAGGAUCCAUGAAUCUAUUGUUU